CCAAAGCUGUGUACAAGCCCACUUCUGCAAAAGAGAAAAAAUCAGCAUUAAGGAGGAAUUGGUGAUCGUUUGUCCAAGCUAUUAUAAAAGGAAAGACUUUAAACAGAACCCUAAUACGAGAGAGAGAAAAAGAGACGUAGUACAAGCAAGAGAAAUAGAAGGAGAGAGAAGAGAAAAAGGGAAUCCAAGAGAGCAACGAAGGAAGUUCGAGUCUUCUUUGUCGUGUGCUGUGAUUCAAAGUUACUUCUCUUCUAUUGUUCUAAUCUGUGACUUGUACUUGAACACAAAGAGAGCGCCGGUUAGUGCGUUUGUGUAUUCUUGAUUGAUAGUGGAGGUUGUGGGAGACGGUUCCCACCCCAGACGUAGCAGUUUAAGGCCGUGAACUGGGUGAUCAAACGUGUGUGUCAUUUAAGUUUCUAAUUCAUCUAAUAGAUCUAAGAUCUAAGCACUCAGGAGAAGUUAAAAACCCUUACAAGUGGUAUCAGAGCAAUCCAGGUUUGAGUGCUAGAAAGAUUUGGAUUAGAGACUCAGUGAUGACGACACAAAAGAUGGAGGUGAGCAUGUUUGACGGAUCAGGUGAUUUUGUGAUCUGGAAGAAAAGGAUGCUCGCAUACUUAACCGUUCAAGGUUUGAAAGAUGUUCUUUCGGAACCGACAUCCAAAGAAGUGGAUGUAAAAGAACCAGAAGCAAUGAAGGAAAAGAGCAAAAAUGAUGCUUCAAGGCUGGAGCGAGAUGAAAAGGCUUUGAAUCUUAUCUUCAUGUGCGUUGGAGAUCAUGUCUUAAGGAAACUAGACAAGUGUGAAACCGCAGCUCAAGCGUGGGCUACUCUUGAGAGGCUUUACAUGGCAAAGACUUUGCCUAAUCGGGUCCAUGCUCAGCUUAAAGUGUAUUCUUUUAGAAUGCAGGAUUCAAGAUCAAUUGAUCAGAAUGUAGAUGACUUCUUGAAGCUGAUUGCAGAUUUGAGCAACCUCAACAUUGAGAUACCAGAAGAGGUUCAAGCAAUACUGCUACUCAACUCUCUUCCCUCUAGGUAUGAUUCUUUAAAGGAUACUUUUAAGUAUAGUAGGGAAGCUAUUCAGUUGGAGGAAGUAGCUAGUGCUGCAAAAUCUAAGGAGAGAGAACUGUCUGAAAAUGAAAGGCUUUCAAGAUCAGAUGGAGAAGGGUUAUAUGUUGAGGCUAGAGCCAGAUCAGAAAAGAGAUCAGAGAAUGGAAGAGGAAGGUCUAAGAGUAGAGGAAAGAAAAACAACAAAGGUUGUUUUAUCUGUGGAGAUGAAGGACAUUGGAAGCGGGAAUGUCCUCAUAGAAAGAAACCUGCAGAUUCUGCAAAUGUUGCAACAGAUUCAAAGGAACCAAUGGUGUUAAGUGUCAGCACUCAAGAUAGAAAGAAAGAAUGGAUUAUGGAUUCAGGCUGUUCAUACCAUAGUACACCAGACAAAGAAGUCUUGUUUGAUUUCAAGGAGUUUGAUGGUGGUAGAGUUUUGAUGGCUAAUAACACUCAUUGUAACAUCAAAGGAAUGGGGAAGAUUCGGAUUUAGAAUCCAGAUGGUUCUGUAGUGAUACUCAAGGAUGUGAAAUAUAUACCAGAGGUGAGUAGGAAUCUUAUUUCUUAUGGAAUGUUAGAGAAAUCUGGUUGCAGGUAUGAAAGAGGUAACUUCAAGGUUCAGUUCUACAAAGGAAAGAAGAAGGUAAUAUCUGGAAAAUACCAAGGUGGUUUGUAUUAUCUUCAAGGCACAGUUUCUAAAGUUGACGUGAACAUGCCAAAAGCUGAGGUAGAAGUGAAAAAGAAGAAGGUAAAGAAGGUGACAUUCAGUGAGAAUCUGAUUCAAGGAGCAACUCCUUAUGGUUUUGAGACAAGGGAUUCAUCAGCUCAAGGUGGAGACUCUUCUUCAUCAGAAAAAUCUGAGAGUUACGAAGUAAUUGAGUCUAAGGAGAGCAAGGAAGAAUCUGAGAUAGAAUCAACACUCGAUGAUAUUUUUGAAAGUAAGAAGCGGAUGCAUCAGAAAAGUGUUGGAGAAGAAGAGAGUUUGAACAAAGAACUUGAGGUGAAAAAUUUGGGAAAAGUUUCUAAGAUAUUGGGAAUGGGUUUCUUUGGAGAUAAGAGCUAAAGGGGAUGUAGUUUUAUCUACGGUUCACAAGGGUAAAAGUUCAAUAAAUUUUGUAACUGAAACAGUACCUGGACAAAAAGCUCAGGUUUGCUGCGAUCUUCUCAACCUAGUUUGAAGUGUGGUGCAGCUUCAGGUAACUCCAUUAUCGACAUGCUACUCUCGCAGGAAGAAGAACAUAAAAACGGGUUGGUGAUAAGAUCUUUGAUGUAAUUUCUGUAUAUUGAAUCGUAGAAGAGAGAGAUACAAAGCUUCACCGUAUCGUAUUUACAAACUCAUGACGUAUGUAAAACGCAUACAGGAAUAGUAAGCUCAAACGCUACUUCCACAAUAACAAAAACUGAAUACGUAUUUCUCAACAAUUCUAGUAUUUAUACUAAUUGUCUUCCAACUGCUUCUCUCACGCGUUUUCUUCACACGCUUAACCGUCUUCACUCCCGAGCUAAUACCCAGCUAGACUCAUGCAAUGGAAGAUUUGUCCAAGAUAGCAACACUUCCAAACACCCUUCUUCAUUAUGACGCAUGUCUAAUAAUUCGCUGGGUGCUACUACGAUUUCAUCAACAUCAGAUAAAACCGCUGGCAAUGGUAGAACGUCGUGAUUUGAACCCAAGGCUUCUUUCAAAUGUGAAACAUGGAAAACCGGAUGAAUCCUUGAAUCGGAUGGUAACUUCAAGCGAUAAGCGACCUUCCCAAUUCUCUCUAACACCUCAAAGGGUCCAUAAAAACGGGCAGCAAGCUUUUGACAAAUUCGACGAGCCACUGACUUUUGUCUAUACGGUCGGAGUUUAAGAAACACCAUACUUCCCACUUCAAAAUUCACCUCUCGUCGAUGUUUAUCAGCUUGACUCCGCAUCAACUCUUGAGCUCUCAACAGAUGAAGCCGAAUAUGUUCCAACAUCGAAUCUCUUUCUUUCAGCAUUUCCCCUAGCUCAAAAUUAGCUGUUGAACCUUCUUCAAACCUCACAAGAGUUGGUGGUUCUCUCCCAUAAACCACUGAGAAUGGAGUAUUUUUCAGGGCUGUGUGAUAGUUUGUAUUAUACCACAAUUCUGCCCAUGAAAAAAUUUUUGCCCAUUUCCUUUGAUGAGCUGAUGCUAGACAACGGAGAUAAGUCUCUAAACAUCGGUUUAAAAUCUCUGUUUGUCCGUCAGUUUGAGGAUGGAACGCUGUACUAUACUUCAACUUUGUUCUAGCUUGGUUAAAACAUUUUUUCCAGAAAUGACUGAGAAAAAUCCGAUCUCUGUCAGAGACAAUGGUCUUGGAAAACCCAUGUAAGCGAACAAUUUUUUUAAUGAACUUGUUCACCACCUGAGUUACAGUGAAAGGAUGCUUUAAUCCAAUAAAAUGGCCAAAUUUGCUCAAGCGAUCCACCACAACUAAUAUAGCAUUGAAUCCCAUUGAACUUGGAAGACCUUCGAUGAAGUCUAAACUGAUAUCUUCCCAAAUAGCCUGUGGAAUUGGUAAAGGCUGGAGAAGACCUGCUGGACUGAGGGUAGAAUAUUUAUGAGUCUGACAGAUUUUACACUCAGAGACAAAUUUUUGUAUGGUUUCACGCAUCCCACUCCAGUGAAAAGACUGUUGAACUCUCUUUAGUGUUUUUAGUAUACCCGAAUGUCCUCCUACCACACCUUCAUGUAACUCUGCGAGAAUCAAGGGAAUAUAUGCAGAUGUUGCUGGUAAUACCAAUCUCCUUUUAUACCACAGUUUACCAUCUUUGACGACAUAACCCGGUUUGACUGUUUCAGCAUUAUUUACUCGGUUGAUCAGUAUUUGAAUCUCCGGGUCCUCCUCAAUUUCCUUGAAUAUGUCCUGUAAUUGGACCACAGAAGGUACUGUCAUGGCCAAUAAGGAUGUGGUAACGUUUUCCAAAGGUGCUUGUAAACUCCGAGAUAGUCCAUCCGCCGCCUUGUUUUCGAUGCCCGGCUUGUAUACUAUCUCGAAAUCAUAACCCAACAGUCGAGUAAGCCACUUUUGAUGUUCCAUCGUCACUUCUCUUUGUUCCAAAAGAAACUUAAGGCUUUUCUGAUCGGUAUGAACCACGAACUUCCGGCCUAUUAGAUAAUGUUUUCAUUUCUGAAUAGAUAGAACAAUUGCCAUUAGCUCCUGUUCAUACACUGAUUUCAACUGUUCGCGAGCAGUCAACCCACAACUGAAAAACGCUAUUGGUCUCUAUCUUUGCAUUAGUAAUGCUCCUAACCCAAAACCAGAUGCAUCAGUCUCCACCACGAAAGUGGCAAAGUCAAAACUGGUGCAGACGUCAUCGCUUUCUUUAAUGUAUCAAAAGCAAGUUGAGUCUCACACGACCAUUGAAACUUGUCCUUUUUUAAUAGCUAUGUUAAAGGUCGAGCCAACGUGCUGUAUCCUUUCACAAAACUCCUAUAAUACCCUAUGAGUCCUAGAAAUCCGCAUAAUUCCUUCACUGUUUUGGGAGUAGGCCAUUUUGUCAUUGCUUCAGUCUUUUUUGGAUCAGUUGCCACGCCUUCCUUUGAGAUUAUAUGGCCCAAAUAGUCCACUUCGUUUCUAGCAAAUAAGCACUUCUUCUUGUUUGCAUAUAGUUGUUGUUCAGCAAAAAUUUUCAGGUACAACCCUCAGAUGAGCUUCGUGAUCCUCCACACUUCGGCUAUAUACCAAUAUAUCAUCGAAGAACACUAGAACAAAUUUCCGAAGGAAUGCUCUGAACAAAUCAUUCAUUAAAGAUUGAAAUGUUGCAGGCGCAUUUGUGAGGCCAAAUGGCAUCACUAAGAAUUCAUAGUGGCCAUCGUGUGUUCUAAAAGCUGUCUUUUCGAUGUCACUCUCCUUCAUUCGUAUUUGUUGGUAGCCUGAUCUCAGAUCCAAUUUCGAAAAUAUUACAGCUCCAUGAAGUUCAUCUAGUAGCUCGUCAAUCAUUGGUAUGGGAAACUUGUCAGGAAUUGUUGCUCGAUUCUAAGCCAUGUAGUCUACACAAAACCUCCAACUUGUGUCUUUCUUCUUGACUAAAAGAACUUGGCUUGAAAAAGGACUAACACUUUUCCUGAUCGUUCCUGCAUCCAACACAUUUCUGCUACCAUUUUUUCCAUAACCUCUUUAUGCAUCUGGGGAUAGCGGUAUGGUCUCACAUUCACCGGACCUUGUCCAGGCUGCAAUGUAAUACCAUGUUCGCGGUCUCGACUUCGAGGUAAUCCCGAUGGAAGAUCAAAUACUUCCUCAAACUCUUGUAAUAAGGUUACAAUCAGCUCGGGAAUCUUUUCUGUGGACUCUUCUUUUGGGAUGUUCUUUUCAAACUCCAGACAGACGCCUUUUGAUGUUAUCACUGGAUUCGGUGCAAGUGUCUUCAGAGAUAACCUUUUUGUGUGCAAACUUGUGUCACCAUACAAGGUAAUCCACUGUCCUUGGUAUUUAAAAGAGAAUUCUUGUCGUUUCCAAUCCACCUGACAUUUACCAAGGGUUUCUAGCCACUGCACUCCCAAUAUCAUAUCCACAUUUCCUAACUCCAAUGCUAUGAAAUCUGUCGUGAAUCUGAAUCCUGACAACAAGAAAGAUAUGUCUUUACAUGCUCCAUUUCCUUUGAUCUGUAAUCCAUUACCCAGUAACACUUCUAACUCCUUUUCUGUUGAUAACUGUAACAGAGUUUUCUGCACCGUUGCUGACGAUAUAAAAUUGUGGGAAGCCCCACUAUCGAGCAUGACCACCACCUGUGUCUUCCCGAUAGUCCCGUGAAUCUUUGUGGUCUUUGGUGUAUCAAUUGUCAGAAAUGCGUUCAAUGAUAGAUGUCUCAACUCACCCAUCUGUUCAGUUUCUUCUUCAAUGAAUUCAAACAUGUUCUCAUCCAAGACUUCCACUUCAAAUCCAUUGAGUACUGUCAACACUCGUAGCUCUUGUUUCGGACAAACUUUAUCGUGGCCUCUGAACCACUUGGCAUCACACUUGAAACAUAAUCCCUGACUUCGUUUCACAUCGAGUUCUGCGUCAGUGAAUUUUUGGCGAGGUCUUAUAUUGGUUCGUCCUUGCGUUUGAUUUUCUUUUGAAUCCGUAGACUCAAUAGUCAGCACUUUCGGUUUGAAUGGUGUUGUAUACUGAGUCCGUUGAUUGUUGUAAAAGCUAUUGAUACGAGUAUUGUUCUUUGAUCCAUACUCUCUCCGAGAACCAUCACCAACUAACUUGCAAAAAGCACUACUCUCCAUUGCAAUAUGAUUAGCUAGCCCUUUCGGUUCCUUCAUCUUGAUAACUUCUUUCAUUUCCAGUGUUAAACCAUUGUAAAAGAUGUCUUCCAAGCCUUUAUCAUCUACUCCUGUGACUUGUGACGACAGAUCCUCAAACUCGGAUACAUAGUCUCCAAUGGAUCCCGUUUGUUUGAUCGAGUACAAACGCUUUCCCGGUUCUUCCUCUAGUGAUUCAACAAAUCGUACCAACAACUUCGCUUUAAAGUCCCUCCAAUCUCGGAAACCAUGGCGUUUCUUUACCCAAACAAACCAUUUCUUGACUUUACCAGCUAGUGAGAGAGCAACUAAAUCGAGCUUCGCUUCAUCAUCGUAACGGCCAAUAUCGAAGAAAUUCUCGACUUCCGCAAUCCACACAUAUGGAGCACAACCAUCGAAUAUUGGCAUCUCGAUUUUCUUAAUCAUGCUCUCUCUAUUUGCUAAAUCUGUAUGACCUGACCGAUAACCUAAUGGUAUUUCACUCCGAUUCGUUCCAGUGAAUGAAUUUGGUUCCUGAUUGUGAUUUUGUGAGGAAUUAGGGAUUUCGAUCGGUCGGACACCUCCGUCGGCUCGCGGUGGUAGCUUUGAUUGUUGUUGAAUCGCCAUUAGUAUCGAAUUGAGUUUCUUGUUCAUCUCUGCCAUGCGAUUUUCUGUUUGAGUCUUCGAUUCGCAAAGCCGAGUGAAACCUCCUUGUAAGAACUCUAAUUCAUCGCGCAUCGCCGAUAAUCCUCCAUCUCCUUCGUCGCUGAAUACUUCCGACGGCAUAUCUCCUUUCUGAGCUGAUUCGAUCUCGUCACGACGCACCAUUUGAUAAAAUCUUUAAUGUAAUUUCUGUAUACUGAAUUGUAGAAGAGAGAGAUACAAAGCUUCACCGUAUCGUAUUUACAAACUCAUGACGUAUGUAAAACGCAUACAGGAAUAGUAAGCUCAUACGCUACUUCCACAAUAACAAAAACUGAAUACGUAUUUCUCAACAAUUCUAGUAUUUAUACUAACUGUCUUCCAACUGCUUCUCUCACGCGUUUUCUUCACACGCUUAACCGUCUUCACUCCUCUGUUCUCUUCCUUCCUUCUGUUCAUUUCCUUCUUUUAUACACAUUAAGAGGUCUAUCAGUUGGUUUUGGAAAUGUUUUUAUGUCGAUAAAGUAAAAUCAUAUUUGAUUAAUGGGUUAAAGGAGUUACCUGGAGGCGGCUAAAAUUACGGUGAGGACACUUUGAUUCCAGGUGGAGCUGUUAGGAGAUUCAAGGGAAGACAAGUUAGCUCUGUUUUCAUGAAUCUGGGAAGCAAGUCGAGAGUACAAGGUUCAGGUUAAGGGAUUUACCUGAGGUCAUCUAAGUAGCUGAAGAACAUUGGUUGUUCACUGGGAGAAGCUGCAAAGAAGAUGAAAUUGAGACUAGGGUUAGUUUCAGGUGGAGUAGCUGCAAACGAUUCAAGAAGAGAUUGAUUUAAAGCUCAGUGCACAUGAGAUGAAUCAACAGGUCGAUAAAGAUGAAUCAAGUUUUGUGGAGAAGCUACGAAGUAUAAAAUCAAGUUCGGAUUUCACAGUGUCUCGGAAAUAUCAGUUGAUACAGAGACAGAGCAAGGAGGAGAUGAUGCAGGUUCGGAGGGUUACCUGAUGUCAUCCCAAAAAGCGGAGAAGAUGAAGCAGUUCGUCGGAGAAGCUGAUAAAGAGGAAAAGUCAAAAAAAAUUUUAGAAUUUUGGUGGACUGGAAAUCUGAUGCAGCACAUCGUUGAUUAAUGGGCUUUUAUGACAAACACGUCGCGGGCUUUAAACGUGUUUGUUCAACUAUUAUCUUCAUCUUUUAUUUCUAGUUUGUUUUCUUUUAGGAUCAGAUAAACACAAAUCUUUUAGGAUUAGGAUCUUUCGUAAUCUCUUUAGCUUAUUAUUUAAGGUCGUCGAAUAGCCUUGUGAUCGACACCUUUUUUUGACAUUUAAAGCAUUUAUUCAAGAGCUUGUUUAAGCACUAAGAGGAGUACUCUUAAUCCUUUGUCGUAGUCGAGCUUUCGACUGAGACAAAAUCGAGAUCGUUUCAAGCAAUUCUUCGAGUUCUUGUUGUGAUUUCGUUUACGUAGCUUCCGCCUCUCUAUCAGUUGGUAUCAGAAUCGGUACGUUCCUGAAGGUUGUUGACGUUGAGACAAUGCCUCCGAAGAAGAACAUCAACAACACCGGUCACAACACUAAUUCGACAAGUGAUUGGACCGAGCUUCGUGCUACUCUCCUGGCGAUGCAGGAGAACAUUCAGGCGACGAUUCACGCGUCUAUUCAGGAUAUGGGCGAGACACUAUUGACGCGUUUGGACGCUCGUAUGCCAGGUCGUGCACAGGGUGAGGAGCGUAUGAACAACCCCUUUGCAAAUCGCGAUGAUAAUGAUGACGUGGAGGACGAUGAGUAUCCCAGGCGAGUUCGUCGUGAUAAUUACCAUGGUGAAGGCGGCGACAACAGGUGGGAGUCCGGUUUUCAUGUUGAUAUUCCGGAAUUCCUAGGAGGAAUUCGAGGUGAUGAACUCCUUGACUGGAUCGUUUCGGUGGAGGAGAUACUCGACUUCAAACGAGUUCCCGAGGACAGACGUGUUCCUCUUGUGGCGAUGAGAUUUCGAGGUCAUGCCGCGUCUUGGUGGAAGCAAGUGAAGUCGACAAGAACAUGCACAGGGAAAGAGCUGAUACAGUCCUGGGAGAAAUUAAAAAAACACUUGCGCAAGGCCUUUCUUCCGCACAAUUAUGACCGCCAGAUGUAUACACGCUUACAGAAUCUGCGGCAAGGGAGUCGUAGCGUGGAGGAUUACGCGGAGGAAUUCUCCGUCUUGCUCACUCGCAACGAGCUUCGUGAUUCAAAGCCUCAGCUGGUAUCUCGUUUCAUUGGAGGUUUGCGCCCCCAGCUUCAAACGGCGAUGGCACAGUUCGAUCCUACGACGAUCAGUGAAGCCUUCCGACGAGCUUCAUCCUUUGAACAGCAGCUGAGAUCGUCAGGUUGGACCUCUGGGUCUGUUCGAAACAGAACACAGGAUCCUGCGAGUGUUGCUUCUUCUGCAACGCAUAAGGACGUUGGUGAUAAUGUUGUGCAGUCGUCGCGCGUCACAGCGCCUCCGGAAGACCAAGCUUUACGCCGUUCUAGCCAGCCCAACGCACUAAGAUGCUAUUCUUGUGGCGAACAGGGGCAUCGCCAGACAGCCUGUCCCCACCAGACGCGUCGUGGUCUUGUCGUCGGAGAUACUACAAUUGAUUUGGCCGCGGCUUAUGACUCAAAAGCAGAGGACGAUGACCUUGAGGACUCUGAGAUUGUUCCGACACACGGUGACACAGGACGACUUUUGGUGUUUCAUCGCAAUUGUGUCACACCUCGACGACAAGACGAACAGUGGUUGCGAACUAACAUUUUUUGAUCGACGUGUACGAUUAAAGGACGUGUCUGCACUUUUAUCGUCGAUUCGGGCAGCUGCCGCAACGUGAUAUCUGCUUUUGCGGCUGACAAAUUGGAGAUUCCCAAGGAAGCCCACCCUGCUCCUUAUACUCUUGGGUGGCUGUACGAGGGAGUUAGCGUCCGUAUCACAGAACGUGCACUCGUGGCAUUUUCUAUUGGGCCACAUUAUCGCGAUCGUACGUACUGCGAUGUUGCUCCUAUGGACGUCUGCCACCUCUUGUUGGGUCGUCCGUGGGAAUUCGACAGGAAGAUUAUCCAUGACGGAGCGCGUAAUACCUACAGCUUCAUAUGGGAAACACAUCAGAUCCUUUUAGUCCCUUCACGUGAAGCUUCGUUACCUGCCCCGCCAUCUCCGAUCGUCUCUGAGCCGAACUCGCGUCGCACACCGGCACCAUCGAUAACAACACUCUUAUGUUCAUACUCUGAUUUUACAGCUGAGUUGCGUAGGGAGGCAUCGCGUAUGCACUUCUGCCUUCGUCCCCUACGCGAGUCCUUUCUUCUCGCUCUACAUCGGCACUUGAUGCUGUUUUAGCAGAGUUUGUGGACGUCUUUCCUGACGAACUCCCUACACAGCUUCCACCACUUCGCGACAUUCAGCACACUAUUGAUCUGGUGCCUGGUGCGACGCUUCCCAAUCGUCCACACUACAGGAUGAGUCCUCACGAACACGAGGAACUUCGUCGUCAAGUGGAAGAUUUGCUUCGCAAAGGCCAUAUUCGUGAGAGUCUUAGCCCCUGUGCGGUACCAGCGUUGUUGAUCCCAAAAAAGGAUGGCACUUGGCGUAUGUGUGUAGAUAGUCGUGCGAUCAAUAAGAUUACGGUGCGUUAUCGAUUUCCUAUUCCACGCUUGGAUGACUUACUCGAUCAGAUUGGAUCAGCAACUGUCUUUUCAAAGAUCGAUUUGAAGAGUGGCUACCAUCAAAUUCGAAUUCGCCCAGGUGACAAAUGGAAGACGGCUUUCAAGACGCGAGAGGGUUUAUUUGAGUGGCUAGUCAUGCCAUUUGGGUUAUCAAAUGCACCCAGUACGUUUAUGCGUAUCAUGAAUCAAGCCUUGCGUCCCUUCAUAGGCAAAUGUGUGGUGGUCUACUUCGAUGAUAUCCUUAUCUUCAGCGCUUCUAUGGACGAUCAUGUACGACAUAUUCGUGAUGUUUUGCUUGUUCUUCGCAAAGAAACAUUUUUCGCGGCAAAGCAGAAGUGCGAAUUUGGUGUUCCCGAAGUGCUUUUUCUGGGAUAUGUGGUGUCUGCAAAAGGUUUGGCGGUAGAUAUGUCUAAGAUUGAAGCCGUCCAAUCCUGGCGCGUACCGUCACGGAGGUUCGCAGCUUCCACGGAUUAGCUUCUUUCUACCGGCGAUUCGUGAGCCACUUUAGCUCUAUAAUGGCUCCGAUCACGAGCUGUAUGCGAGAAGGGAAAUUUGAGUGGACUUCUGAGGCAGCCGCUGCUUUCGAAUUAAUCAAGGAGAAGCUCACUUCAGCCCCCAUUUUGGUUUUGCCAGACUUCUCUGUCACGUUUGAGCUGCAUUGUGAUGCGUCGAAACUUGGCAUUGGGGCCGUAUUGAGUCAACUUGGGCGCCCUGUUGCUUUCUUUAGCGAGAAGUUAGCAGGCGCAAGAGGACGCUACAGCACUUACGAUGUGGAAUUCUAUGCUAUCGUCCAAGCAAUUAAACACUGGAGACAUUACUUGAUUCACCGUGAGUUUGUUUUAUUUACUGACCAUGAUGCACUUCGCCAUCUUGAUAGCCAUGCAAAGGUUUCUGCGCGUCAUGCUGCCUGGAUUUCUUACCUGCAACAGUUCACAUUCUCUAUUCGUCAUCAAUCUGGCAAGACGAAUCGAGUCGCGGAUGCGUUGAGUCGCAGGCAUUCUCUCCUUUCAACAAUUCAUACGACGGUGGUUGGAUUGUCUUCCCUCGCGGAACUAUAUACGACUGACCCCUUUUUCAGUCGCAUAUUUGCAGAAGUAUCGAAUGGUCCGAAUUCUGAUUAUACGCUCCAGGAUGGUUUUCUUUUUAAGGGCCUACGGCUGUGUGUUCCUGAGUGUAGCUUGCGUACACAAAUCAUUCGUGAAUUACACAAUGAAGGACAUGUGGGGAGGGAUCGCACCCUGCAGCUUAUCACGACGUCGUAUUUUUGGCCGUCUCUGCAUCGAGACGUUGAGCGAUUUGUUGAGUGCUGUCGCAUCUGUCAGCAGGCAAAGGGCAAGGCGUCUAAUGCAGGCCUCUAUUUGCCUCUUCGCAUUCCGACUCAACCCUGGACUGAUGUUAGUAUGGACUUUGUUCUGGGGCUUCCUCGUACACAGCGUGGCAGUGACUCAAUCUUUGUCGUUGUGGAUCGUUUCUCGAAGAUGGCGCAUUUUAUACCUUGUAAGAAGACAACAGAUGCAGUGAGUGUGGCCAUUUUGUUCUUUCGGGAAGUUUACCGCCUCCAUGGAUUACCAACUUCCAUCGUAUCGGACAGGGACACGCGGUUUCUUAGCCACUUUUGGAGAUCCUUGUGGCGUUUGCUAGGGACGAGCCUAGACAUGAGUUCGGCGUAUCACCCUCAGACGGAUGGCCAGACGGAGGUGACGAACAGGUCGCUGGGCAAUCUUCUUCGCUGUUUGGUUGGUGAUAACAUCAAGUCAUGGGACUCUAAGUUGUGCCAGGCAGAAUUUGCGCACAACCACGCCGUUAAUCGGAGUGUUGGUUUUUCACCUUUUCAGGUUGUGUACGGCGUCGUUCCUCGCUGCCCGCUGGACUUGUCAACACUUCCUGAUCGCACGCGUCAUCAUGGUGAAGCUAUUGACUUUGUGGACAGCCUGCAGCAGGUUCAUCAGUCCGCGCGUGAAAAUUUGGUUAAGUCUUCUGCUAAGUACAAGCUCGCAGCUGAUGCGAAACGCCGUGAGGUGAUCUACAACCCUGGCGACUUGGUUUGGGUAGUCUUGACGAAGGAUCGUUUUUCGGUGGGCGACUACAACAAGCUCAAGUCGCGUAAAGUUGGACCGGUGGAGGUACUCGAGCGUAUCAACGCAAAUGCUUAUCGAGUUCGUCUUCCAGCACACCUGCGCACUUCCGACGUGUUUAAUGUGAAGCAUCUUUCUCCAUUUUAUGGUGAUAACGACCCUGUCGAUUCGCGGACGAAUCCUUCUUCACCUGGGGGGACCUGAUGCAGCACAUCGUUGAUUAAUGGGCUUUUAUGACAAACACGUCGCGGGCUUUAAACGUGUUUGUUCAACUAUUAUCUUCAUCUUUUAUUUCUAGUUUGUUUUCUUUUAGGAUCAGAUAAACACAAAUCUUUUAGGAUUAGGAUCUUUCGUAAUCUCUUUAGCUUUUUUUUUAAGGUCGUCGAAUAGCCUUGUGAUCGACACCUUUUUUUGACAUUUAAAGCAUUUAUUCAAGAGCUUGUUUAAGCACUAAGAGGAGUACUCUUAAUCCUUUGUCGUAGUCGAGCUUUCGACUGAGACAAAAUCGAGAUCGUUUCAAGCAAUUCUUCGAGUUCUUGUUGUGAUUUCGUUUACGUAGCUUCCGCCUCUCUAUCAAAAUCUCAGAAAGGGUCAAUUUCAAAUCAUCAGAACAAGGAGAUGAAAAGGAGAUUGAGGAUACCUGAGAAUACAGCGGAUAACAGCGACAAAGGAAUCGCAGGAGAUGAAAAUUUUCUGGUCGGAGAAAUUUUUUUCAUCUAAUUUCACUAUCAGAGAA
rnacentral:lncRNA from 1 species